rnacentral:rRNA from 1 species
AUUGAACGCUGGCGGCAUGCUUUACACAUGCAAGUCGAACGGUAACAGGCCGCAAGGUGCUGACGAGUGGCGAGCGGGUGAGUAAUGCAUCGGAACGUGCCCAGUCGUGGGGGAUAACUGCUCGAAAGAGCAGCUAAUACCGCAUACGUUCUAUGGAUGAAAGCGGGGGACCGUAAGGCCUCGCGCGAUUGGAGCGGCCGAUGUCAGAUUAGGUAGUUGGUGGGGUAAAGGCUCACCAAGCCAACGAUCUGUAGCUGGUCUGAGAGGACGACCAGCCACACUGGGACUGAGACACGGCCCAGACUCCUACGGGAGGCAGCAGUGGGGAAUUUUGGACAAUGGGGGCAACCCUGAUCCAGCAAUGCCGCGUGCAGGAAGAAGGCCUUCGGGUUGCAAACUGCUUUUGUACGGAACGAAACGGUCUGGGUUAAUACCCUGGGCUAAUGACGGUACCGUAAGAAUAAGCACCGGCUAACUACGUGCCAGCAGCCGCCGUAAGAC